UACGUAGGGGGCAAGCGUUGUCCGGAAUCAUUGGGCGUAAAGCGCGUGUAGGCGGCCUUGUAAGUCCGUUCUGAAAGCCCGGGGCUCAACCCCGGGAGGCGGAUGGAUACCGCAAGGCUCGAGUACGGAAGAGGCGAGUGGAAUUCCCGGUGUAGCGGUGAAAUGCGCAGAUAUCGGGAGGAACACCAAUGGCGAAGGCAGCUCGCUGGGACGUUACUGACGCUGAGACGCGAAAGCGUGGGGAGCAAACAGG
rnacentral:rRNA from 1 species